UACAGAGGUCCCGAGCGUUGUUCGGAUUCAUUGGGCGUAAAGGGUGCGUAGGCGGCGGGGUAAGUUUGAUGUGAAAUCCCGGGGCUCAACCCUGGAAUUGCAUUGAAUACUACCUUGCUAGAGUACCGGAGAGGAAACUGGAAUUUACGGUGUAGCAGUGAAAUGCGUAGAGAUCGUAAGGAAGACCAGUGGCGAAGGCGAGUUUCUGGACGGUAACUGACGCUGAGGCACGAAGGCCAGGGGAGCAAACGG
rnacentral:rRNA from 1 species